UCUCUCCCCCUCUCAACCUCUAUAGUCUAGAGUCUCUUCGAUGGUUCUGCACUUCUGCCUCUCUUCCUCUCUUCAAUGGUUUUGCACUUCUGCCUCUCUUCCUUUCUUCACGAGUAAGAGGAUUACGGUGCAUGGGAGGCUGGGGACAAGCUGUGACUGUUUGGUGCGGUCGAACCUCAUCUAGUCAUGCUCUUCCUUCUAGGGUUUUAUUGGAUCAGCAAAACCUAUAGGAUAGCGGAUGCUGCUGCUGGAACAAUCGAAGUCUGAGAGAUCUGGCCUCAUCAGCUCUGGGAAGUGGGUUUUCUCUAGGACUACGGGAGUGCUGGAUCGGUGCUGAUUUGGGCAAAGGCGGUAACUUGAGAAGAAUCUUCAGGGGAAGAAGUCCAUAUCUGAUUAUGUUCUUUCUGCACUUUCAAAGAUUAAGAGUGAUCUGGAGUAAGUGCUACUGGUCAUAUUAGGAGACAAGGUAGUGCUUCUGUUUCAAUGACAGAUGGAGAAACUGGUUAUACUCACUACCUGAUCCUCUUCGUAGCCUUGUACUGUUUUAUCUUCACUUACACUGUUUUAUCCUCUUAGAUGGCUUUGUAAUGAUAAUUAACUUGCCAUAUUUUGAGACAUGCUAAACCAUUCCUUCUAGUCAAAUCGUUUCCUCCAUAGGCAGUUCAAGGUAUUAAGUGUAAUAGAUUUGAGUUCAAGAUAUUAACUUCAAUAUGUUUUCAAUAUAACAAUGGCUCAGCCCACUUUUAUCUUUUAUCUCUAGCUGUGAUUCCCAGUUCCCUACUGGUGUAUUCCUGUCUAAAUUUUUGUUCCAUUUGUUCCACAUCAGUUUAGAUUGCAAUGAGAACUUGUGGUCUAGGCAUUGUAUGUCUCAGUUUUGUAGACAACUAAAAGCAGCAUAAUAGUUAUGUAUAUCUGUGGCAUUUUCAUAUUGAUUUGGAUUUAGAGAUUGACUCUCAUUUUGUUUGAUCUGAAAUGUAGGCAGGACCUGUGCCAGAGAUUACAUGGGCGUGAGUUUUCUUUACUGUGGCUUUGCCAAUAUCAAAAUUCUGAAGUCUUUGUAAAUGCAACACUAGUUGAGGAGCCAGAGCUGCAUAGGAGUUUUCCUGUGUUUGCUUUAGAGGUAUGUUCUUGCAUGUUCACACAAUUAAUAAAAAAUAAAACUGACCUUAUGAUUUCUUUACGUUCCCCCAUCCAUUUUCCAGUCACUUUUAAUGUUUUCUUCUCUCUUGGGAGCUUGUACAUAUGAACCAAUUGUGGCCUUUAUCUAUAUUUCAGUUUUGACAAUUUGACAACUAUGUGCUAUUCAAGGAUGUGGUUCUCAAUGUUUUGUGAUGAAUGUCGUUCUGCAGCUUAAUAAUAAGGUGAAUUUUCUGAAUGCAGGAAAUUUUGGAAUCUCGUUGGAUAUCCAAACCUCACAUUUGGACUUUUUGAACCCUCGACGGAAGAGGGAUUAAUUAUUGUGUUUUUAUUUUUUGGGUG